AAUCAGGACACUCGUUUGUAUUGCAUUCCGCGGCAAUGCAAACCACCGGGGGUUCUGGAGCAAGAAGAAGAUCCAUAUCAACCGAGUGAUGUGUGAAUGAUGUCGAGCGACAAAACGGCAACAAAAAGGGACCUGGCGCGGCUUCUGACAUUGUUCUAUACUUUUCCAUUAGCAGAAGAGAGGGUGGAGAGCUCACAGGCAAGAUACCAGAAUGGAGCAAUCAACGGAGAAGCACAGGCAGUAACGCAAGACAAGGCAAUCCAGAAGACUGUAUAAUAUCGUCAUUGGACAGAAAUAUGAA